rnacentral:rRNA from 1 species
GUCGUCCAUCGUGGACGUGCGUGCGGGAGUGGGAACGCGGCGGAGGCGUUUGCGGCCGCGAGCGAGGAGUUCGGCGGCCGCUGAUCUGGUUGCUUGUAGUCGAACGCGGUUCGGCCGUGGGGGUUCGACGGGAGGCCGCUGAUCCGGACGUGCCGACGUAGGGCCAGACUGGUCGGUGCUGACGUUUCAGUCGUUGACGUUCCGUCGCAGCGUCCAGUCAAACCUCGACAUCUGUUUCAAAACCCUCGUCUAGCCUAGUUCCGACUCACUGUAGACCCAAAAAGCACCUGCGCAACCAACGACCAGGUACCAACCGUCGUACCCUUGAGGGAAGACUGUCGGGAGUUGUGACAGUCUUGUCCGUCAGGCGGUAGAAGAAGCAGAGGCCACCACCGCGGUGGCGGCCAAGACGGAGACGGUGGGGUCCUUGGUGACGGUGAUGGAGGGCUAGCUGGAGACGGUAGGGACCUCCCUCAUCGAAAAGAACAAAAAAUGGGUAAAGAACAGGUGAAACAAGACAACGAAUUGUCGGAGAAUGACUUUACAUCCCUUUCCGACGCAUGUUAUCUGGGUUUCACCAGCCUGGGAAGGGGCCUGGGACGCGUUUCGCCCUCGAUGGACGUGGCCCGACGGGAAAAAAAACAGUGGUACCGCACCCUCGAAUGGCUCCAGGGACCGUUAGGUUGAGGGGAGGUUGUAAGGUGCCAACUACACCACCGUCGCUUGUAACACGGGUUCCAUUGUUUACGAGAGUAGUCCGUUAACUUAGUUCAGACGGGUAAUCUCUUAGAUGCCGUACAGUUCGCCCACGCAGCCGCACAACACACACCGCUUUUAAGACUCAAUAGUUAGUAGAAUACGGAAAGGUUACCCGGACUGUUAACAUCACUUCCAAAAGGACUUCUUCAGGUUUUCUAUCACCUGUUGAUGGUAAACUCAGGAAAGUAACGUUUUCAACGGUCAACAAGACGAUGCAGCUUUCUCCUCACCCUCCUUGUCACGUUUGAAACCGGUUGUAGAAUAGUGGGGGGAUUGCUGUAACUACCACAUAGACCUAAAUUUCUCCUCCUUAAUGGUAGUUAUAAAGUAACGUACUCCUGACGAUACGUUAAUAGUGUCCACCCGUUACGACGGUAAUAACAACUAGGUAGUUCGUACGUUCAUUAAAGUUUCCGAUGUCUGGUUUGUGUGGUCGCACUAUGAACAGAUUUACCCUUGUUUACACGUUAUCAUCUUCGUCCAUUACGAUCGAGUAAGGGACUUCGUUAACUCCUAUUUCGGCUGUGAAGCAACGGUAGCUCAAGAGCAAAAACGUUACCGAACCUGUCCCUCCAGAAUACAUAUUUGGGAAAGCCUACCUACUUUGUUUCCACAUGCCUCGUCUUCUGUGACGGUAGACUUCCACCAAAAGAGACCGUAGGAGACACCGUACGACGUCAACAACGGUAACUUUUACGGCGGCUCUCCCUAUCUUCCUACAAGGGAAGAAGUUGAAGAAGUUGUUGGCUCGGUUUUAAUUUACCACUACAUCUCUUAACAAGACUACUACUUGGUCGUUUCGCCGAUUUCUAUCAAUGUUUACCACUUCUAGUUAGACGUGUAGGUCGUACGUCGUCCCUGAACGUACUUUCUUUGUCUGGUAUAGAAACGUGUCCUAAACUGUAGAUGGAACAAACCCUUGGUACGUGCUACACACGAUACCGCGAACAUGUAGUUUCCAAGUUCGCGCAGAAGAUACGAAAGGGAUUAGGGUAAUGACCUCGUGACCCGUCACAGAUGUCUAACGUGCCCGUCUUUUCGAACUUAGUGGUAAUGAGCCACAAAUCCUAUUUUCAAGGACUCCGUAUAAACUUACCAAGUUGACUGACAAGACUUUUUACCACGAGUUUAAGACAGAGUAGAAUCAUGUUUUUGAGGUCCUCGAAACAAGACGUCGUUGCCAUUGACGAUUUUACGGGUACUCGAACGUUCCUUUACGAUAAAUCGGGCUUAAAUCCACCACAUCUUUUAAUCGAUCAUGAGGACAAGUGACGUCGAACUGCAAACAAACAUACAAACUUUACCUUUUCUGAUAACAAAGG